AUGGCCAAAUUCUGGUGGGGGAGCUCACUGGAUAGGAAACCUCUUCAUUGGAUCGCUUAGGAGAAGUUAGCUACAUAAAAAAUUAAGGGCGGGAUGGGAUUCCGUGACUUACGACAGUUCAACUGGGCACUUUUAGGGAAGCACGGGUGGAGAUUAAUGAUAGAUCCUAAUUCCUUAUGUGCUAGAGUUUUGAAAAGCAUAUACUUACAUGAUACAGACUUUAUGCACGCCACUAUUCCGAAGUCCGCUUCAACCACAUGGAGAGCGAUCAUUGCCGGUCGUGAAGCACUCAAUGUGGGUUUGCUGAAAAGAGUUGGUGAUGGAGCAUCCAUCUUGGCUUGGGAGGACAAAUGGAUACCUUCUACAGUAACAAUGUCGCCAAUAUUCAAACCAGCUAAUACACAUGUUCAUAUGGUUAGUGACUUGAUUGAUUCCGCAAACUGGACAUGGAACCGGGAACUCAUGCGAGACACCUUCAUUGCACCUGAUGCCGAAGCUAUAUUGAACAUCCCAAUUCGGCGAGGUGGAGGUGAGGAUUUUCUUGCUUGGGCGCAUGAGACCUCGGGAAUAUGCUCUGUGAAAUCGGCUUACCGUGCUCUCGUGAAUCAAAAAGAGCGUGUAGCUCUAGAGGAAGGGCAGGUAACGGGACCAUCAACGACAGAAGAACAAAUGUGGAUUUCUCUCUGGAAACUCAAGGUUGUGCCCAAGGUGAGGGUUUUUUGGUGGCAGUCAUUAGGGGCUUAA
rnacentral:rRNA from 1 species